UACGUAGGGGGCAAGCGUUGUCCGGAAUUAUUGGGCGUAAAGAGCGCGUAGGCGGUCCGGUAAGUCGGUUGUGAAAGUCGGGGGCUCAACCCUCGGAUGCCGGUGGAUACUGUCGGGCUUGAGUACGGAAGAGGCGAGUGGAAUUCCUGGUGUAGCGGUGAAAUGCGCAGAUAUCAGGAGGAACACCGAUGGCGAAGGCAGUUCUCUGGGCCGUAACUGACGCUGAGGAGCGAAAGCGUGGGGAGCGAACAGG
rnacentral:rRNA from 1 species